rnacentral:rRNA from 1 species
GACGAACGCUGGCGGCGUGCCUAAUACAUGCAAGUAGGACGCAGUUGCGAACGGGUGAGUAACGCGUAGGUAACUACCUAUUAGAGGGGGAUAACUAUUGGAAACGAUAGCUAAUACCGCAUACUAGUAGAUGGACCUGCGUUGUAUUAGCUAGUAGGUAGGGUAAUGGCCUACCUAGGCAACGAAACAUAGCCGACCGUAUGGGGUGAUCGGCCACAGUGGGACGAGGACAAGGCCCAGACUCCGACGGGAGGCAGCGUGAGGGAAUGUGCGGCAAUGGGGGGAACCCUGACCGAUCAAAGCGGCGGGAGGGAGGAGGGUUUUGGGAUGGUAAGGCUCUGUUGUUAAGGAAGCGGUACUUAACCAGAAAGGGACGGCUAACUACGUGCCAGCAGCCGCGGUAAUU